UAAGAUCUGCUGGAUCAACGUCCGCGUGGGUUCGAACCCCACAGCAGCCA
rnacentral:tRNA from 1 species